UACAGAGGGGGCAAGCGUUGUUCGGAAUUACUGGGCGUAAAGGGCGCGUAGGCGGCCUCUUAAGUCGAACGUGAAAUCCCCGGGCUCAACCCGGGAACUGCGUCCGAUACUGGGAGGCUUGAAUCCGGGAGAGGGAUGUGGAAUUCCAGGUGUAGCGGUGAAAUGCGUAGAUAUCUGGAGGAACACCGGUGGCGAAGGCGCUCAUCUGGCCCGAGUACUGACGC
rnacentral:rRNA from 1 species